ensembl:lncRNA
CAAUAAUUUUGCAAGAUUUUUUCAAAUGAAUUUAAAAAAUGUAAUUUACGGUGUAAAUAUAGUAAUAUUUCUCCAUUUUAUAUUAUUAUGUACAUCGGGGUUAUUUCUAGAACUAUUCUCUUUUCUAUUGUCCUGCUCUGACCACAGAUCUGAGAUUUAUGAGAUGGAAAUUAUUAAUUAUUAUUAUUAUUAUUAUUAUUAAUUUUAAUUUGAUAUAUUUAUAUUGUAUGUUCUGGGUUAGGGAUGCCUGCAGCCUCUCAGAAUGUCUUAUCGUUCAGCCCGUGUGGCAAGCGGACCCUAGCAGCUGCGUUAUUUUGUGGUUGGCUGCUUCUUAUUGGAAUUGAUCCACGGACCACUGAGACCAUAUUAUGACUCCGUGGAAGAGGAGAGCGAUACGAAAAGGGGGUGUUGGUUACUGUUGUGAAUGCAUUCAUGGAUUUGCACUCCUGUGCCCUGUAUGUGUUCCCUGAGCGAAUAUCCUUUAAUUCAGGUAACAUUCUGAGCACUGCCCUUAACUCUUGUACCGAUGUCUUUUCUUUAUCCAUAGCAUCCCGUAAGGAAUUCCAGAAGAGUUCUGACGGCACCCGUUCAUCUCUCUCUUCCCCUAAGAGACUUGCUGUAGUGUCGCCUAAACCGCAGUCUCCAGUCCUUCAGAGGCAACAGAGGGCAACAGUGGUGAUCCGAGGCUCAAGCAUGCAGAUUUUGCCUCGUACUGGCUCUCCGGGCCCAGAGAAGAAAAAAGAAGAAGAGCAGAAGAAAGAAAAAGAGCGAGAGGAAGUAGAGAGGAAUGAAGAGAUGCAGCUCUUGCAGGGUCGCUGUGAAGCACAGGCCAGGCAACUACACACUCUUCAGACAGAACUAAAGAAAACCAGCAUGAGUCUGGAGGUCUUUGUGAUCUGCACUCAGCACUUCUCCCUCAAGGUAUUUUUUAAAGAUUACAUUCAGCUAAAAAUGUAUUUGGCCAAACAUUCAUUAUUAUUAUUACUUUACACAUUUUAGAAUCUUAAAAAAUCAUCAAAACUAUUAAAUAA